rnacentral:rRNA from 1 species
AUUGAACGCUGGCGGCAGGCCUAACACAUGCAAGUCGGGCGAACGGCGGACGGGUGAGUAAUGUAUGGGGAUCUGCCUGAUGGCGGGGGAUAACUAAUGGAAACGGUAGCUAAUACAGCAUACCAUCAGAUGAACCCAUAUGGGAUUAGCUUGUAGGUGAGGUAACGGUUGACCUCGGCGACGAUCCCUAGCUGGUCUGAGAGGAUGAUCAGCCACACUGGGACUGAGACCCGGCCCAGACUCCUACGGUAGUCAGCAGUGGGGAAGAUUGCACAAUGGGCGCAAGCGUGAUGUAGCCAUGCCGCGUGUAUGAAGAAGGCCUUCGGGUGGUAAAGUACUUUCAGUCGGGAGGCGUUACCGACAGAAGAAGCACCGGCUAACUCCGUGCCAGCCGCCGCGGUAAUUC